rnacentral:tmRNA from 1 species
GGGGGCGAUACGGUCUCGACGUCGGUCUCAAAGCAAAAGGUGCAUGCCGAGAGAGUAGCGGCUCUCGCUAAACAAUCGCUGCAAACCCAUAGUUGCCAACGACGACAACUACGCACUAGCGGCCUAAACCGCCGCUAACGCUGAUGAUCCCUCGCCUGCGGGGUGAAAUCGGCGGCAAAGACAGCAGGAUCGCGCUCUCGCCCACGCCUGGGGGUGGCAGCGUCAAACCUUUCCGGGCUCGCCAACAGCGCCCUGGCCGCCGGGCCGCUUGCGGUUAAAGCAAUAGACGGACCCUAAGCAUGUAGAGCCGAUUGCGGCGAACCCACGGACGCGGGUUCGACUCCCGCCGCCUCCACCA